rnacentral:misc_RNA from 1 species
UUGAAAAUAAACCUGAUGGGUUGUCGCUGGUUCUCUAGGGAGCAUGUGCACGCCUUGUCAUCUUUAUAUCUCCACCUGUGCACCUUUUGUAGACCCCUCCAGGUCUAUGUCGCUUCAUUUACCCCAAUGUAUGUCAAUAGAAUGUAUGUGCAUAUGAAAUCUAUA